ACUUGAGCGCGUCGGCCUGGCUGUACCUGAAAGGGCAGGAGACAGGCAUGGCCGCAGCCCGUGCAGAAAACACUAUCCUCGGUGCAGCCAAGGGUCACUGAAACACCUCGGGUACAAGACGCCUGCUCUUCAUCACAGAUCCCACACCCACUGGGGAAGCAGCGUCCUUCAGCCCCUGCUCCUAGUCCUCCAGCGGCGCCCGGAGUGUGGGAGAGGCUCCGAAACACCCCAGGGUCAGAGGCCAGCACUGAAGGAAGGGCACCCAGCUGGCUGGAGACCCCAGCAUCUCGUGUGGCUCAGAGGCCACAUCCCUUGAACCAGACCUGCUCUGCCACAAAGAGGUUCCCCGCAAGUGACAGCAACAGCCCACGCCUGCGUGGCACCUCAGACGUACCGUUGUUCAGGUUGAAGAGAAAGCUGCACAUGUACUUGUCAUACACUUUCCCUCUUCUGUCGGCUUCAUCUUGAGAAAUUAUCUGAGGACAAGACGGCGCCACGUUAAAGCCGGGCAGGGGCGCACUGCUCAGCAGAGCUGGCCCGUCCAUCAGAGGACGACGGACUUAAGGACUGCAACUCGGAAGCACUUCCCCAUCAAAGGAAGUGGGCUUUGGAGAAAGGGAUUAAUUUAAGGAGCCCCUUUUCUACGAACAGGCAAUGCAAACCACCGUGCGUUUUCAGUGACUCCGCAACGGAACAGCCCAAGAUAAAUGACACUCACUGCUGGGUCCGUGAAUGAGGCUGCAGGUGAAGUAGGACAGACUCCUCCCCUUCCCUCCUCAUCCCCAGAGAAAGCUACAUGUGACCAGGCCUGAAACAGCCCCUCUGGGCGUGCCCAGGGUGACCACCCGCUCCGGCCUUACCUCCCCACAGUACUCCGAGAUGAACUCAUUCUUCUGGACAGGGUCUUUGAUGAAGAUGCCCCAGCCUGCCACGUCGGACGGCGCCAGCAAGAGGUGCUAGAGAAGGGAGCACAGCUGUCGAGUCUGACCAAAGCCGAGCGGCCUGCCGACCCUGGAGACCGCAAGGCGAGUGUGAUCCUCGGACCCCUGCAAGUCAGCCAACCAGACGCCACCAAGUGCCUUGACUUCAGGGCCUGAACUGAGGGGUCAGUGCCCCCCCCCAACAAACUGUAAGACCUCACUUUGGAUUUUGUGAAUAAACUAAAAGUAAGCUUUACCUCUCCCCAAAACCAACCGUGGUGGCACCUGGCCCUCUGACGGCCGCCCAACAGGGCACCCGCGAGGGCUGCCUUUGCACUUCCUGCCCUUUCUUCAGCCUUUGACCCCCUUAAUGAUUCACUUCCAGUGUGAACUUCACACGAGGACGCCAAGUCUGCCUGUCUCCAUACCUCCUCACACCAGCUCCUCCACUUCCCGUUCAGGCCCCUGGCUGCAUUAGCUCCCUGCGGCGGAGCUCAGCUGUCCCUGCACUGCAGCUCCUCAGAGACAGCCCAGAGAACUGCCAGGAGGCAGAGGCACAUCUCGCCAGCCCAGCAUUCCGCUCUCAGCAAAUGCCAAGAUGACGAACAAGGCCAGUUCCAGGUUAGUGUGCAUCAGGCACAAACCCCUCACUCUGUGCCAGGUUCACUAUGCCGCAGUCCUCCCAAACUCCCUUACGUCCUUUAGCAAGUCCCCGAUCACCCACGCUCCCAAUCUGUUCUUACUCUAAUCCAGCCCCGACGCCCAUCAGGGGACUUCUGAAACAACUCCCUGAGUAGAAACUAAAUUAGCUAAAGAACACUGUGAAGCUGUGAGGCAAAUGAAACCCAGUAGGUAAGACAGUAUUAUCUACAGCUGUUUUCUGAGCGCAAAGGCGUGCCAGUGUGAAGAGCUGACCGCAAAAGGUGAGUGUGGGGUGGGGGAGUUAUGGUGGGAUUCUAGGGCUCAUCAUGGGUAUGCCACGCAAAGCUGUAGUGCGUCACUGUGACAGAAGGACCUCGAUGGACGUUAACUACCCCGAGAAAAGCCGUCCAAACACUUGGCAACAUCAGAGCCAAAAAUCAAGCCACUGCCAGAACCAGAACUCCUGGGGGCAGGGCUUCCGGCCGCACGGUGCAUACUCUCCACCUCCUCACAGACGCCGGGCUCCCUGCCCCAGGACACGGGGCCGACGGGGAUGCUGCCUCCGGGAGCUACGAGCACUGACGAGUUAACACCCGGCACUUCACCCCAGUGCUGACUAAAUGGUAAGUAAUAAACACCAGCUGCUGUUAUAAAAAUGACUAAUUGAAAUGCACUGUCUACCCUAAAAAAGCAAGACACGAGUGCACAUGGGUGGUGUCCUCUGCUCAGCGGUCACUACAAUUAAAAAUCACCUGCCUGCAGCCCCCAGUUACAUGGUUCCCAGCUUUGAUGUUUCCAAGGUUAUUAAAGGAACAAACCCUGCAAAACCACUGGGAAAUUCAUCUCGCUCUGCACAAAAGGGAAACUUGGUUACCAUAUGACUAGUUCCAUUAACUAAACUUAAAAAGAAAUUCAGUGUUGGCUGGCCUGGCUCAGUGGACUGAGUGCCGGCCUGUGAAUCAAUGUGAAUAUUGAUAUUUCUCUUCCUCCCCUUUCCCUUUGUGUAAAAUGCAUAAAUAGAAUCUACAAGUCAUCUACUAGACAACUAGAAAAAAAAUAUCACUUACUCCAAAUGUGAACCCAGUACUGGCACCUCUCUGAGCCUGGGAAGCUGGUCCCUCCUACCCUACAGUGGACAGGCUGCCCCCUGCCUGCACCCCCACCCGGUGGUGGCACCUUUCCCGGCCACGCCCCCCUGGCCCUACCUUCUUGGAGCCCCGCUGGAUGCUGCAGUUCUUGCAGGACACGUUCUUGCUGUCCCAGUGGUCAGCAGCCCCGCAGGUCAGACACAGGUCGGGGUCGCACUCCCGCACAGCCAGGUAGCAGGGGCACUGCUUGGUGUUGCACUGAGCUUUGCAGCGGCAGCCGGGGAAGCGGUUCUGACCUGCAGAGACCGUCUCUGCCGUUACUGUCACGAGACGGCGCGGAGCCCUCACAGCAGCCUCCCUGUCCCGCUGCCCCCGAGGAGAAACGUCACACGUGCCUGAGCUUCACGGGUGGUUUCAUUCAGUAGAAAGAAUCACCACCCUGAUGACCAGCUCCUCUGUGCUGAGCACUGAACCCUCCAACUCGGACAGUUCCCGGUGCCCGCAAAGUACCUGGGUUGCUGCUCCUAGAUUCCCCUUACAUUCUGGGCCAGCGUUACUAUGAUUUAACUUAAAUCACCAAAGAAAAACAGCUCCUUUCAUCCCGUUUUGCAUAACCUGUCGUCAUGACACGUCCACCAGGACACUGGCUGGACACAGGUGCUGGGGGUGCCCCGCACUCUGGAUCUCCCCCAAGGAAAACCUGCAGGAGCUGCUGUGUCAACUUUUUUACUCGCUAUUUUAACUCUCAUGCAAUGGCAUUAAAGCAACAGAUACUUACACUCUGAACUACACUGACAAAACUUUUCACAAAAAUUCUGUGCUAUCACACAAGGGCACGAACUGUCGCAAGGCUGCCGUGGAUGGUCACAGGGUUGGUAGUUGUAAACAUGGUUGGAGGAGCCGUCUGCAUCAAGACAACAGCGUGCAGGUCAGUUGGCAGUCGGAGGGGAACACGCACAUGAGCGAGAACACACCCCACCUCCGUCCCCGGAGUGCAGCAGGCUUCCUGCCUGGUGCCCAAUCCUGUCCACGCGACAAUGGCCUGAGGCACCUCCCACCCCCUGCCAAGUGCUGGGAAAGCUGGGGCGCGGUCCCCACAUCUCGGGUCACCAGAGUGCUACUCUUUUAACCACCAGAGGACUGGCUGGCAAUAUACUCAACAGACACCCUCCAUGCAUCAAAGUACCCUCAACUCUAGCCCAGCCACUACUCUGACACAUUACAGACAUCUUCGGUGCAGGGGCUGGGGGGUGGGCAGGAGAAAGGCACUGACCUUUUUUCAGCUGUAUCUUCCUGCAGUGAGCAGCCCACAACCUGCAAGACAAAGAAGCAAACGGUCUUCUCCAGGAAGCGAGGGCACAUGGCGGGCACAGGAGCUCCUGAAACAGGACCAUCUGUGCCAGCAACAGGGCCGUGCCUUCCAUCCGAGUGCCUGAGAGAAGGGUCACACAGUCCAAGCUUGUGUGUGCCAGGUUGCAGUGACCACCAGGCCCCGCUGUGGGCCAAGAAGCCCUUCGCAAGCACACCAUCAGGCCUGGGGCGGCCAGGCCCUCCCAUGCAGGCCAGUCUGCCUGCUGGGCUCGUGCUGAGGCAGGUGACACUGGCCUACGUGGUCAGAUCAUCCAACCAGAAAACCCGGGAGGCACUGCUAAAGCCUAACGCCUGCGGGAAGACUGCUACGCCACUCCCCGACCCAGCACCCACCUCUGCUUCUCUCCGAAAAGCCGGGAGGGGGGGGGGGGACUAAAGCUGGCAGACCAGCCACGGCCUGCUCCUUCUGCACCUACAACCAGGUCACCUCACCACGCACAGCCACAGGCUUCGGGAAAGGGGACAGACCCGCGGCCCAAGAAGGUCUACCACCAGUGCGACCACCACACGCCUGGAAGGUUACGGCUCCUCAUAAACCAGCUCAGGUCACCGCUCCAAGAUUCACACUCAGGAAGACCUCUCAGAACAAAUUCUGUGCAGCCUCGCCUGCAGAAGCUACUAGGUCCGUCUCGACUAAACACAGCAGAGCGAGCUUACUUCGUCUGGCUCUUACACCAGGUCUGCUGACGCUGCUGCGUUCUAGUGGAGACUCGUACCUGCACUGCCCGUGGAGACUCCACCUCUGUUUCUAUGGCUAGCCUCCGCCCUGGGUCACACACUCAGCCCACAGCGUCCUGGCGCCAUCUGGGAACGGCCGCAGACACUUACCGGUGUUUCCUCUUCUUCUUCCUCGGAGGAGUGUCAACAUCUUCGGCGGGCACUGGAGCUAUGAUACUGGACUCUUUGACCCGAAACUCAUACACCUGACGAGAGGCACAGUCGCAGCUGUGAGGCCCAUCAGGGUGAGCAGACUUACAGCCUUACACUGGUCCCCACCAGAAACACCUGUCCCUGCUGUGACGCUGUUGGGGACAACAGAGCAGACGCUGUCCCAACCCUCAAGCAGCUUCGAUGACAUUAUGGUAAAUAUGGUCAAGAGUCCCAAGGCUCAAUCUAGACUCUUACUGGCUUUCUCAGUCCAUUGUCACCUAGCCUGAAACAGCUAAAGGCUGAAAUCAGUUUACCCCCAGUAAACAAACUCCUUUCCAGGAGACAGACAGAAGGCAUCAAUAACCGAGAGAGGGUUGCCUGUGCUCCCCAUCUCUGAAGCUCUUCAGACCUGCUCACCUGUCUGCAGGUUUUGGUCCCGAUCAACCUGGCGAUGGCACAAAAGUUGUCGUAGUAGGUGCCGAUGAGGACCCGGAACAUGGAGGCCUCGGCCCCGCUCCACUCCACAUUCUCCGGGGGCUCGCUGUUCGGCUUCAUCUUCACCGGAGUCUGGCACCGAGAGUUCGCUUCUGCAAGGCCAGGUCAGUAAGCAUCAGUGAGGAGGGGGGACCAGAGAGCAGUGCACUCAAGCAGAAAGCGGAAGUGAGUCACGCUGAGAACAGGCUGGGGCUACAAAGUCACCACGCCGUCACAUGGAACCAGGGAGCCUGGGCUCCUUCCCCAAGGAAGGCGAACGGGCUGCCCUCCUGUUGUUUGUGUUUAAGCCGCAGAGCAUACAGGCACCUAAACUCUAGUCAGGACAGCAAGGACACUAACCGGAGUGGCCUGCACCUCGUGGCGCCCUGACCGAGAACAAUGGAAAAGAUGGCACAGUGGACAGGAAUGGCAGCCCCGAACCUCAGCCACCCAGGCGGCAACAUCACAGCGGGCCUGGGGCAGGGAGAGCCGUGAGCACUCAGCCCGGUCCUCCGCGGGCACACCCAGCGCGGACACUGCCCGCCUUCCUGAGAACUGGGCACCCCUGCACCCCGCGGAACUCCCCAACAGCGGCACGGAGCGAGCGGGCCUCACCGGAGGAGCUGGAGGUCUCGUCUUUCUUCUCCUCCUCCUCCUUGUCGUUGUUCUCGCCGCCGGUCUCGGCCCCGGCUUCCCGGUCGCUGUCUGUGUCCUUGGACUCCAGCACACUGAUGGUGGGGGUGCUGGGCCUGCUGCUGUUGUUGGGGAGCCGCCCGCGUCUACGGCCGCCCGGGCGCUUGGGUGGGGUCUUGAUGCGCUCGGCCGUGAGGGCGGCGGCAAACUCCUUUGCUCCCUCCUAGAGUGAAACACAGAGACGUCAAGUUCUACAACUCGUUUUCAUAAAGAAGAAAAAAACCCUGCAUGAGCAAGUUAGUCAAGAAAUUCAACACAAUACCCACUUUCUACAAUUAACUGGUUGCGUAUCUACACACACUGGUUUUCUUUCCAUCUCCUCUGACAGUCUGGAAAUUUCAGACAGACAGACUUGGGUACCAUAUAUUGCUAGAGUGAUGUGAGAUCCGUGUAUUUGUGAAAUGCACUGAUUGAUUAGUAAGUCAAAAUAUAAAAUGCCCUUUGUGUAACAUACAGUCUCUUUAAAGGUGAGUUUUUAUGAGAAUCACAUAAUGUGCAUCUGGAGUCCAACUUUCCUGUCCAGGGUUUCUAAGCACAGGCCGCUGUGGUCGUGGUCAAGUGCACGGGAACACAGAGCACGCGAGCAUGCCGACGGGGCCACUUCCCGCCCUACUACAAACGAGAAGGGCCAGUGUGGCCCCCGUGAGGGACGCACAUCCCCAGGAGACGUGGCAGGAACUUGCGGAUCAAGGCUGUGGGGCUACAUUCUGCACUACCAAGGGCAACACCCAGUCUCAAGUGUGAGAAACCGGUGAGCACACAGGUCACAGAGGAACAUUCCAGAUGAGCCACACAAAAUUACACAGCAGGGCUCGAGAGUCCCUGUUUAGUGAUGGGAGAAGUCUGAGAGCAGCCAACAGUUUUAUACUUCUACAAAAACCAAAUUGCUUAAAAACAGGAUACCUUCUGUAGGUGCCAUUCAAUGAAUCUUCUGUCUUAGUUCCUAGGUAGGAGUGGCUUGGUUCAAAAAGGGGAAAUGGUAAAAAAAAUAAGAUAGUACCCAUAAAAAACAACUUUUCUACCUCUUAUUUUCCUAAACCUUCACUGUGGGCCCUAAUGCACGGCUCAAACCACAGGGGCCCGAAGCUCACUGAAAGGCUCAGAACGGCCGAGGGUCUCGAGGUGGGCGGCUACCUGUGCUGCACACGCUCCUGAACUUCGAGGGAGGUGUACCGUAAGAGUCCUUGAUCCUAAAAACCUCGGACUGUUGCUGAAAAGAUUAGCACGGAUACACAAAGACUAAUCAACCAGCAAAGGACUCAAGUGUGCGUGUGCACAUCAGAGACACGAACCAGGUAAGACCCUCUGCCUCCCGUGUGGCCAGGAGACGCGCGGGAGCCACAGUGCUUAGCUGACUGCACGCGCCUCACAAGGCCAGAGUCCUUGUCCAGCGCCCUCCGGCCGCGCGGCUCUCGAGCUUACCAGGUGCUGGUAACACUGGGGCCCACAAGGCUUGUUGUCCAGAGCUGUUUCUGUGUUCUUCCGCUUGUAAGUGUUGGGUGUGGCGUGGAAAGCUGCAAAAUACAGUAAUAUUUGGAUAUUUUCCACAGUAUUUACCUACUUAUUUUCCCCAGUUUCAGUGGAAAAAGUUAGUGAAUACAUUCCCGCCUUGCCACUCUGUGGUUCAGGUCCCAGAACUCCCCUCCCAGCCCCCAGUGACCUCCCACUGCGUGGCCCCCACGACUCCCUCCGAGCACUGCACCCCCCCCCCCGGCCGGGUCGGGCCGCACACGCCGAGUUCUGCGGUGACCAGUGGUUUCUUACUUCUCUCCUCACAAGUAGAACUGACACGUGUAAACGCUAAAUGCUGACCACAAACAUUCACUUGAGCCAUUAAUAUCGCCAUAGAAACAACUGAGACAUCCUCUACAGUGAAACCAGAUUUCCUACUUUUACCAAAAGAAUUCUGACAUCCACAAUUUUUAUUUUCUAAAGGUCAACAAUCUGUCAAAAUGGGGAGAAAAACAGAAUACCACUUACUAAAAACUAAUUUUUUCAAAAUCCUCACCCAAAGAUAUGUUUAUUGAUUUUAGAGAGAAAGGGAAAGACAGAGAGAAACAUCAACUGGUUGCCUCCCAUUUGCACCCUGACCAGAGAUGGACCCGAAACCUAGAGACAGAGACACUGACAUGGGAGAGAAACAUCAAUGGUUGCCUUCUCAUGCACACCCCAACCAGGGACUGAACCCACAACGUGGUGUGUGCCUUGACCAAGAAUCAAACCCACAACUCUUCACUCUACAGGAGGAUGCUCCGGCUGGUAAGUCUGUAAAGUGGCACGCCCCCAUACGGCAGGUCACCCAGUAAUAUCUGGAGUGGAUCAGGUGAACUUUGCAGCUCAAAAUGAUGCACAGGUGCACACAGGUGAUUCGCUGCAGCACUGGCACAGAAGAAGCCGCGAAACCACCCAAAUGCUGGAAACCACCCAAACGCUGGCCUUUGGAGGACAGGGUCAGUGGGUUCCAGCACCUCCUGCUGCAGAAGACUUUGCAGCUGUCCAGACAGGAGCCACAUCCACGGCAUUAAGUCAGAAAAGAAAAAGACCUGAAUAACAUGGCCCCACUGGAAUAGGGCAGUGAGGGAAAAAUACAUUUGUAUUUGCCCAAAGAAACCAUUGAAAGACACAGGAGAGGUAAUAAUACAACUGAAACUCAAAAAAAAGAUUUGUCCAUGUAUGGAGAGGGUGCUGUGACUGAUCGAACGCGUCAAAAGUGGUUUGCGAAAUUUCGUGCUGGAGAUCUCUUGCUGGACCAUCUCCACAGUCAGGUAGCCGAGCUCAAGUUGAUAGCAAUCAAAUCGAGACAUUAAUUAAGAAUGGUCAAUGUUAUAUUAUCAUGCAGGAGACAACUGACAUACUCAAAAGAUCCAAAUCAACAGGCUCAAUAAAGUUAUUGGUAAAAAUAAAAAAUGUGUCUUAUUUUACAGAAAAAAAACCACGUGGAUUUUUUGGCCAAGACAAUAUAUA